UCAAACUUGGUCAUUUAGAGGAAGUAAAAGUCGUAACAAGGUUUCCGUAGGUGAACCUUCGGAAGGAUCAUUACCGUAACGCGGCCGCCCGCGCGGCGGCCACACGCGUUUAUCACCCUUGAUUUUGAGCACCUUUGUUUCCUCGGCGGGGACGCCCGCCAGCGAGGACCCCCAAAACCCUUUUGCAGUAGCAGUUUUUGUCUGAAAACAAAGCAAUUAUUAAAACUUUCAACAAUGGAUCUCUUGGUUCUGGCAUCGAUGAAGAACGCAGC
rnacentral:misc_RNA from 1 species